GACGAACGCUGGCGGCGUGCUUAACACAUGCAAGUCGAGCGGUAAGGCCCUUUCGGGGGUACACGAGCGGCGAACGGGUGAGUAACACGUGGGUGACCUGCCCUCAGCUCUGGGAUAAGCCCGGGAAACUGGGUCUAAUACUGGAUAUGACUCCAUGACGCAUGUUGUGGGGUGGAAAGCCUUGUGCGGCUGAGGAUGGGCCCGCGGCCUAUCAGCUUGUUGGUGGGGNGAUGGCCUACCAAGGCGACGACGGGUAGCCGGCCUGAGAGGGCGACCGGCCACACUGGGACUGAGACACGGCCCAGACUCCUACGGGAGGCAGCAGUGGGGAAUCUUGCGCAAUGGGCGAAAGCCUGACGCAGCGACGCCGCGUGAGGGAUGACGGCCUCGG
rnacentral:rRNA from 1 species